CUCACGCUCCGAUUCGGUAAUUGGAUUCCUCGACAAAACACUGAUAGAGCUGCCGUUGAAUUCACCUUUCGUAAACCCGAUGUCCAAGUACGCCAUCAGAGUCAAAACGUCUUUGCCUGUCGACACCCAGAGGCCUUGAGCGUUCCCUAUGACCUCUGAUGUUAUGUCGGGGCCAACGGUGAGUGGAUCAUCGAAAGCUAUCACGCCGCCGAAGCCCGUCGAGGUGGUGGUGUUUGGACUGACUAUGGGGACUGCACUAGGAUUGUUGCCGCUCCUAGUGUCGUGUAAAAAGAAGUGGAGAUAGGUUACUUUUUGGGGAGGUGGAACGUAUGGUCCGGCAUGGGAGUAAUAAUCUUGGCAACGAGCUACUGCCAUGGCGGUGCUGAGACUCAAAAUCCAGGCUAAUAUCAUAUUUCUCUCCAUUGGUAAUGGUCAAUGGGAUUUCACUCUUGUGUAUAUUGUAUUAUGGCACCUAAUUCAUAGGUUCCUAAGUUUAUAUAGAAAGAUAAAAUAAAACAAAACAAAUAUUUAUAUUUAUAUUUUUAUCAUUUUAAUUUUUUAAUUAAAUUUAAUCAUUAAUCUUUUAAAAAAUAAGAUAGUUUUCUUUUAUCAAAAAUACUAAUUAAAACAUUAAUUUUUUAAUCAUGUCAGCAUGAUAACCAACAUAAUAGUUCACGUAUAUUUAUCCUAAUAUGAUACUAUUGUUCUAAUGAAUAAAAAUUUUAAAAUUCAAAACAAAUAUAAAAAAGUUAAAAAAAUUAGCAUGAUGUACGCGUUGAUUACCAUAUGACUGUUAUAUUUAAAUAUUAAACAAUUUAGUAAGUAUUUAUGUUUAAAAAAAAGUAAUUAGAUUUAAUGGUCAAAUUAAACUCGUUUUAAAAGGUUUAGGAUCAAAUUUAAUUAAAAGAGGAUCAAAAUUGAUAAAAGAAUAUAAAUAUUAAAAAGUCUAUAGGCCCUUCCGUUGGGUUAAUUAAGAUUCAGUAAUACUAAUGUAUUUGUGCUAUGUACAAAAAUACAAUUAUAAUAUUAUUGGUGGCAAAAAAAAAAGAUAAUACUAAUGUAUUUUAUAUAAAAUUAAUAUAAAAUAGAUAAGUAAAAUUUAGGAUAAAUUCAUAAAUCUAUCAAUUUUGAAAAUAAAAUAACUUCAAUUUAUGAGAAAUAAGAAUAAUUAACAAAUUAUACUUCUAACUCAAACCAAUCCGUACAAUGCUAAGGCUGGUAGCUUUUGGUUAUAUUGCUUAAAAGCUUUCGCAUUCUUAAUCUGCAUAAAACAACGAAGGAUGAGAAGACUAUCAUAUCCUGCUUGAUGGCUUAAUCCAGCAACACGAGCCACGUUUAAAGUUUUUGCCACCUUUUCUAGUCCACCGUGUAAGUUAAAGAUCUUGAAACUGUACUUGAUGUCAAAAAUCAUACAACCAAAGUAAUAAGUCAAAUGUCGCAUGAAAGACUUGAGAUCAGGCGGUAAUAGAUUUUGAGUCAAAAUCUUCAAAAAAAACCCAAAAUCAUAAGCGCUGUGAAAAGUUACCAAAGUCAAUUCACUGAAACCCAACCCGGAAAUCAGAACCAUCAUGCCAAAAUCUCUUGAACAGAUGCCUUUUUCCUUAUUCCUUGUAAAAUCUAUACCUUGUCGUUUAAGCAACUCAAUAGACUCUUUAUCGUAAUGAUCUUUUUCAAUAUCAAAAUCUUUAAAAUUAAACUCCCAUAUAUAACAAAAAGGAGUUCCGAAAUCUGGCAAAUUACCUUCAGAAUCAGAGAGUGUUAAACUGAGUUGAAUGAUCUUCAAAGCAUCGACAUUAACUUUCAUGAACCUGUAAUUGACUUCGGGAUUUCCUAAUUGAACAAAUCUUUUGUCCGGUUUAAAAAUUGUACCAGGAAAUUCGGUAUCCAUAGAAACAAACGAAUAGUUGUGGAGUGCACUUUGAAUUAACAUAAACUCGUAUUCCAAAUUAUCAGCAAAUACUUCCCUAACAAUCACUGGUUUGUUGACAAAAAUCGACAUUUUUUUUUCUUGACUUAUACUUUAAACUGAAACUAUUGAACUCUAGAUAUACUUUUCGUGAUCUUAAGUCAGUUCUAACUAAGAUAUAUAUAUAAAUAUAAUUUUCAUAAUCCUAAUUCAAUUCUAACUAAUAUAAUUUUCGUAAUCCUAAUUAAGUUCUAAGAUAGUGUAUUAAUAUAAGGAGGGUACUCUGUUAUAUAUAAUUUCUUAAUUUAAUUUUUUUACUAAAUUCGUUUUAGGAAAGGAAAAAGAAAAACUUGUGGAUUUUACUAAUUUGCCCUUGAAAGUUACUGCAAGUUAUAUGUUUUGAUGGGUGAGAUUUAGGUUUAAGGUUUAGUGUUUACAUUUUUAAGUUUAUGUUUUAUUAUUAAUAAUAAUAUAAAAGGUGUCACAAUUAUAUAUUUCAAAAAAUAUAAUUUAAUAUUUAGUUACACAUUUAAAAAUAAUUAUAAUUUAAUUAACCCCCAAGGCGGAAUGAUCAGUAUCGAAAAUAUCCCAUUGGUCGCGAAAACACGCGGACCUUAGGCCGGGUAGGGUCGGUCGGAUCGGGUUGUAUCAAAACGGCGCCGUUUUAGCAUCGGAAAUUAAAAUUCAAAACGAUGCCGUUUUACAACUCCUAUUUAAGUAAAAAAAUUUUAAAAAAUAUCAUUUCAGCCUUCAUUUAAAAAAAAACCGAAACCUUCGUUUUUUUUCUCAAAGCUAUCUCAGGCCGGUCAUAGCUCCGGCGAUCACCGUCGUACCGGCCACCUGUCACCGGCGAGAGCUCCGCCAUACACUGAGCCUUUAGUUUUUAUUUAUUUAUUUGGGCUUGUUAUUAUUAUUAAUUUUUAUUUUAUUUCUUGGUUUAUUUUUUGAUGGGCCGGGCAAAAAUGUCCCAUUUCAGAGUAGAAGGUUAUUGUUCUCCCUUCAAUCCUAAUUUAGUCAAAAACAGUCUAUAGCCUACGUCUAACUUGGAAUUUUCUUGAAUGCUUUUGGGUUUUUGUAAGUUUAGUUUGUAGUUGAUAUUUUGAGACCUCAAAUGAUGAAUUUAGGUACUGCAAAGUUAAACAUCCGUAACCAUACCAAAUUCUUAGGUCAUCUUUAAGGUCAGAUAUAACCAAUGUAUUCUAUAUUUAUGGAUGAACAGAUGUGUUUUUGCUGUUACAAAAUGGCGUAAACCUCUUGGUUUGAAGCUCCCUUUUCUCACCUGUAUUGGCUUCCUUUAGUGUCAUAUAUCCGACUACCCAAAUUGCAUUAUAUGCCUCUCGAGAACACACAGCACAGGCAGGAAAGUUAGAUCAGCUGAAAUCAGGCUGCAAAAUAACUUCUAAAAAUGGGUUAACUUUUAAAUAUUAUAACAAUUAAGUCCCUUAAGUCUGACACGUUUCAAACCUAACGAAAGCAACAGGGGGCCAACAUUAUUGGUGGAAUAAACAAUCACUCCUAAUCCAUAGAAGAAGAAAAAAAAAACUAGCAAGAUAAUCAUCUUAAUAAUGAAUUACAGUCACAUUAUACUCAACAAUGGCGUCGCCAGUCUUGAAAUUUACGGAAUAAGUCUUGAGUUGUGCAUACCCUUUCGCCAUCCUGAACUUCCCUUUCCCUCCGACCACCGCAAGCUCACGCUCCGAUUCGGUAAUUGGAUUCCUCGACAAAACACUGAUAGAGCUGCCGUUGAAUUCACCUUUCGUAAACCCGAUGUCCAAGUACGCCAUCAGAGUCAAAACGUCUUUGCCUGUCGACACCCAGAGGCCUUGAGCGUUCCCUAUGACCUCUGAUGUUAUGUCGGGGCCAACGGUGAGUGGAUCAUCGAAAGCUAUCACGCCGCCGAACCCCGUCGAGGUGGUGAUGUUUGGACUGACUAUGGGGAUUGCACUAGGGUUGUUGCCGCUCAUAGUGUCGUGUAAAAAGAAGUGGAGAUAGGUUACUUUUUGUGGAGGCGGAACAUAUGGUCCGGCAUGGGAGUAAAAAUCUUGGCAACGAGCUACUGCCAUGGCGGUGCUGAGAAUCAAAAUCCAGGCUAAUAUCAUAUUUUUC
rnacentral:lncRNA from 1 species